rnacentral:rRNA from 1 species
AGAGUUUGAUUCUGGCUCAGGAUGAACGCUGGCGGCGUGCUUAACACAUGCAAGUCGAACGAGGUCCAACCUUCGGGUGAAGACCGAGUGGCGAACGGGUGAGUAACACGUGGGGAACCUGCCCUUCUCUCUGGGAUAACCUCGGGAAACCGAAGCUAAUACCGGAUACUCCUUGCGGACCGCAUGGUCUGCUCGGGAAAGCUCCGGCGGAGAAGGAUGGCCCCGCGGCCCAUUAGCUUGUUGGUGGGGUAACGGCCCACCAAGGCGACGAUGGGUAGCCGAGCUGAGAGGCUGAUCGGCCACACUGGGACUGAGACACGGCCCAGACUCCUACGGGAGGCAGCAGUGGGGAAUCUUGCGCAAUGGGCGAAAGCCUGACGCAGCAACGCCGCGUGCGGGAUGAAGGCUCUCGGGUCGUAAACCGCUUUCAGCAGGGAUGAAAAUGACAGUACCUGCAGAAGAAGCCCCGGCUAAAUACGUGCCAGCAGCCGCGGUAAUACGUAUGGGGCAAGCGUUAUCCGGAUUCAUUGGGCGUAAAGCGCGCGUAGGCGGCUUGUUAAGUCAGGCGUGAAAUCCGGGGGCUCAACCCGCGACUUGCGUCUGAAACUGGCAGGCUUGAGUCUGGUAGAGGAAAGUGGAAUUCCUGGUGUAGCGGUGAAAUGCGCAGAUAUCAGGAGGAACACCAGUGGCGAAGGCGGCUUUCUGGGCCACGACUGACGCUGAGGCGCGAAAGCUAGGGGAGCGAACAGGAUUAGAUACCCUGGUAGUC